AUUUGUCUGAGUGAGAUACUUCUGUUUGGCUGCUGCUGACCGAAUCUCUUUCAUCUUGAACUGUCAGAUUUGGUUCUUUCCCCUGCUGAACUGAUGAAAGACUAGUACGUUCACUACGAACUGGUUUAUGCUUACUCACCGAUGACUUGUAGCUCUUGAUCCCCUGUCAUGUUGGAUUUGGAAUGACCUCCUUGGAGAUGGACAAGGAGGAACAGACGAUAUUCUGAACAAAUUUUAAGUAUUAGGAUUUUAGUUCCUGUAGUCUUUCUGCAUGCAAAGAUGCCACUAUUGUUGACCAAGAGAUGAGUUAAGUCAAGGAACAAUGAUCAUUCAGGAUUUUUUUCUGCAACUUGAAGAAACAUGAACCACAUACUUAUAUAGACAAACAUAAACUCCACGCAUACACAUAUAUGAACAUGUGCACAAUUUCUAUGAUUGUGUGAUCUUGAGGACGACAAUUUUGAAGGAACACGUUUGGGGUUUCCCUGGCUAGUCUUGAAGUUUUUCAAGAGAAGACAUUUGUAACAAUAAUAUCUUGGACGGCAGAGAAGUCGCUUUACAAUCUAUUUAGUCAUAGACUUCUAAAUGGUAUUAUUUCUGGUCAUUUAGUUUUUGUUCAAAGGUUUGUUUCCCCAAGGAUGUCGGGACCUGUUUGUCUAAGAUAUAUUCUUUUUUCAUUAUAUUAUACAGUACAUGAUUUGUUGUUUGCUCUUGUUUCUGUCAGGUGCAUUUCAAAAACUAGAAAGAGUAUAGUGCAUUAAUAUCUUUGGUUUGUGUGGGCAAGUCUUCAACUUCUUUUCGUCGAGGUAGUGCUGAUAGACAAAUGAAAGGAAGCCCCAAAUAGCUAAAACUAUGGAGAAG